CGGCCCCUGCGGGACGGGCCUCAGCCCGCGUCGGACUCCCGGUCGGCCGGGGCGUCCGGUUCCGGGGCCGCGGGGGCCUC
rnacentral:tRNA from 1 species